GCUGAUUUGGGAUCCGGCAAGACUAGAGUCUCUAUCUUCUUCGGUACGCAGACUGGAACUGCUGAGGGAUUUGCUAAGGCGUUAUCAGAAGAAAUCAAAGCAAGAUAU